rnacentral:rRNA from 1 species
GACGAACGCUGGCGGCGUGCCUAAUACAUGCAAGUAGAACGCUGAAGGAGGAGCUUGCUUCUCUGGAUGAGUUGCGAACGGGUGAGUAACGCGUAGGUAACCUGCCUGGUAGCGGGGGAUAACUAUUGGAAACGAUAGCUAAUACCGCAUAAGAGUAGAUGUUGCAUGACAUUUGCUUAAAAGGUGCAAUUGCAUCACUACCAGAUGGACCUGCGUUGUAUUAGCUAGUUGGUGGGGUAACGGCUUACCAAGGCGACGAUACAUAGCCGACCUGAGAGGGUGAUCGGCCACACUGGGACUGAGACACGGCCCAGACUCCUACGGGAGGCAGCAGUAGGGAAUCUUCGGCAAUGGACGGAAGUCUGACCGAGCAACGCCGCGUGAGUGAAGAAGGUUUUCGGAUCGUAAAGCUCUGUUGUAAGAGAAGGACGAGUGUGAGAGUGGAAAGUUCACACUGUGACGGUAUCUUACCAGAAAGGGACGGCUAACUACGUG